rnacentral:rRNA from 2 species
AUCCCCUAGUAACGGCGAGUGAAGCGGGAUGAGCUCAAAUUUACCAUCGGGUGGGUGCCAGUCCCAAAUGGUUUUAUUGAAGCCUUUUUUGUCGCUGCUGGGUAUUGUCCUUUGGAAUAGGGUAUCAUAGAGGGUGAGAAUCCCAUCUUUGAUUCAAUGCAUGCUACUCUGUGAUGCGUUUCCCUAUCUCGAGUUGGUUUGGAAUGCGACUCAAACUGGGUGGUAAAUUUCAUCUAAAGCUAAAUAUUGGCGAGAGACCGAGAGCGAACAAGUACCGUGAGGGAAAGAUGAAAAGAACUUUGUAAAGAGAGUUAAACAGUGCGUGAAAUUGUUGAAAGGGAAACGUUUGACACCUG